rnacentral:rRNA from 1 species
GACGAACGCUGGCGGCGUGCUUAACACAUGCAAGUCGAACGGAAAGGCCCUGCUUUUGUGGUGUGCUCGGGUGGCUAACGUGUGAGUAACACGUGUAUAACCUGCCCUUUCUUUUCGGAUCACUUCAGGAAACUUGGGCUACUACCGGAUAUGAGCUCCUGCUCCGUGGUGGGGGUUGGAACGUUUCGGCGGUUGGGGAUGGACUCGCGGCUUAUCUGCUUGCUUGUGGGGUAGUGGCUUGCCCAGGCUUUGACGGGUACCCGGCCUGAGAGGGUGGACGGCGACAUGGGGACUGAGAUACGGCCCAGACUCCUACGGGAGGCAGGAGUGGGGAGUAUUGGACAAUGGGAGGAAGCCUGAGGCAGCAACGCCGCGUGCGGGAUGACGGCCUGCGGGUUGUAAACCGCUUUCGCCUGUGACGAAGCGGGAGUGACGGUAAUGGGUAAAGAAGCACCGGCUAACUACGUG